GACAGAGGCCUCAAGCGUUAAGCGGAAUCACUGGGCUUAAAGCGUGUGUAGGCGGAUCGUUAAGUGUCUUGUGAAAUCCCACGGCUCACCCGUGGAACUGUCGUGGCAUACUGGCGAUCUUGGGCCAACUAGGGGCAACUGGAACAAGCGGUGGAGCGGUGAAAUGCGUAGAUAUCGCUUGGAACGCCAAAGGUGAAAACAGGUUGCUGGGGUUGUGCCGACGCGUGA
rnacentral:rRNA from 1 species